GACGAACGCUGGCGGCGUGCUUAACACAUGCAAGUCGAACGGAAAGGCCCUGCUUGCAGGGUACUCGAGUGGCGAACGGGUGAGUAACACGUGGGUGAUCUGCCCUGCACUUCGGGAUAAGCCUGGGAAACUGGGUCUAAUACCGGAUAGGAGCCAUUUUUAGUGUGAUGGUUGGAAAGUUUUUUCGGUGUAGGAUGAGCUCGCGGCCUAUCAGCUUGUUGGUGGGGUAAUGGCCUACCAAGGCGGCGACGGGUAGCCGGCCUGGGAGGGUGGACGGCCACAUUGGGACUGAGAUACGGCCCAGACUCCUACGGGAGGCAGCAGUGGGGAAUAUUGCACAAUGGGCGCGAGCCUGAUGCAGCGACGCCGCGUGGGGGAUGACGGCCUUCGGGUUGUAAACUCCUUUCGCUAGGGACGAAGCUUUUUGUGACGGUACCUAGAUAAGAAGCACCGGCUAACUACGUG
rnacentral:rRNA from 1 species